rnacentral:lncRNA from 1 species
UUUUUUUGUUUUUUGUUUUUUUUUUGGAAGGUAUUAGUAGUACCUUCAUGCAAACUGGAAGUUAUCAUUCAGCUUCAUAUUCAGUGAACAGUAGAGGAUAGUUUUAAGAAUAUUUAGGGGAGUUCCUGUUAUGCUACAGCAGAAACAAAUCCAACUAGUAUCCAUGAGGAUGCAGGUUCGAUCCCUGGCAUCGCUCAGUGGGUUAAGGACCCGGCAUUGCCAUGCACUGUGAUGUAGGUCACAGACAUAGCUCGGAUCUGGUGUUGCUGUGGCUGUGGUGUAGGCUGGCAGCUGUAGCUCUGAUUCAACCCCUAGCCUGGGAACUUCCAUAUGCCACAGGUACAGCCCUAAAAAGAAAAAAAAAGAAUAUUUAGGGUUAGUAGAUGCAAACUAUUACAUUUAGAACAGAUAAGCAAUGUGAGCAAUGUGGUCCUGCUGUAUAGCACAAGGCACUAUAUCCAAUCACUUGUGACCGAACAUGAUAAAAGAUAAUAUGAGAAGAAGAAUGCAUAUCUAUGCACAACUUGGUAACCCUGCUGUACAGCAGAAACUGACAGAACACUGUAAAUCAACUAUAAUUAAAAACUUUUUAAAAUAAAAAUUGUUGUAAAAGAAUAUAGCCUUUUAAACCAGGCUGUAUUAGAAUCAGAAGUGAGUUUGAUACUUUUUUUUUUCACUCCCUAGUGUUGCUUCCAGAUCAUGACUGUCCUCCUAGAAAGUCUUGCUUGUUCCCUUUUUCCAACCAUCCUCAUCUCUGUCACCAAGUGAUCUUCCGGUUACUUCCUCCCAUCUACUGAUGACUGCAUUCCUUGGCUCACGGUCUCCAUGUCAAAUCCCACCAUCAUCCUGGUGACCUCAGUGUUUGUGUGCCUGACUCAUCCAGCCGUUAUUCCCACAGCCUUCCAUCUGCGCCGGGGGAAGGAAGCAGCCGUUUCUCAUCAGCCCCUCCUUGCUUCCUCGGCACCUGCCCUUCCCAGAUUCUGCAGCUGGUCCAUGCUUCCACCCUCAGGCUCAGCCCUACUCAGUGCCUGAGCCAGCUCAGACCAUGGUGGGAAGGGAGUCUGAAGCUAAGGGGUGUACCCCCAGGUGCCUCCCUUUCUUCUGUAUGUGUAUUUUGUUUUGGUUUUUUUUUGUCUUUUUGUCUUUUUAGGGCUGCACCUGCGACAUAUGGCAGUUCCCAGGCUAGGGGUCGAAUUGGAGCUACAGCCGCCAGCCUACACCACAGCCACAGCAACAUAGGGUCCAAGCUGCAUCUGUGACCUACACCAUAGCUCACGGCAACACUGGAUCCUUAACCCACUGAGCAAGGCCAAGGAUCAAACCCGAGUCCUCAUGGAUAGUAGUCAGGUUUGUAAACCACUGAGCCACCAAGAGAACUCCUUCCCCUUCUUCUGAGCUACCUGUGUGUCGAUGUGAUUCCACCAACAAGCCCGGUCCCCACACCCAGCCCUGACAACUCAGGAGGAAUGGUUAGAAUUCCAUAUGCUGUCCUUCCUCUGUGCUUCUGUUACACUGCCUACUACUCUCCUUCCUCUCAGACGGGUGUUCCUGUUGCCGGCUGUCCUCAACUCUUCCCAGUUCUCUUUUCC